rnacentral:rRNA from 1 species
UACGUAGGGUCCGAGCGUUGUCCGGAAUUAUUGGGCGUAAAGGGUUCGUAGGCGGUUUGUCGCGUCGGGAGUGAAAACACGGGGCUUAACCCCGUGCCUGCUUCCGAUACGGGCAGACUAGGGGUAUGCAGGGGAGAACGGAAUUCCUGGUGUAGCGGUGAAAUGCGCAGAUAUCAGGAGGAACACCGGUGGCGAAGGCGGUUCUCUGGGCAGUAACUGACGCUGAGGAGCGAAAGCGUGGGGAGCGAACAGG